GAGGGUGUAGCUCAGUGGUAGAGCAUAUGCUUAGCAUGCAGACGGUUCUGGGCUCAAUUCCCACUACCUCUA
rnacentral:tRNA from 1 species